UUUAAUCAAACCGGCAAAAACCAAUAAAAAC
rnacentral:sRNA from 1 species